GAUGAACGCUGGCGGCGUGCCUAAUACAUGCAAGUCGAGCGAACGGACGAGAAGCUUGCUUCUCCGAUGUUAGCGGCGGACGGGUGAGUAACGCGUGGAUAACCUACCUAUAAGACUGGGAUAACUUCGGGAAACCGGAGCUAAUACCGGAUAAUAUUUUGAACCGCAUGGUUCAAAAGUGAAAGACGGUCUUGCUGUCACUUAUAGAUGGAUCCGCGCUGCAUUAGCUAGUUGGUAAGGUAACGGCUUACCAAGGCAACGAUGCAUAGCCGACCUGAGAGGGUGAUCGGCCACACUGGAACUGAGACACGGUCCAGACUCCUACGGGAGGCAGCAGUAGGGAAUCUUCCGCAAUGGGCGAAAGCCUGACGGAGCAACGCCGCGUGAGUGAUGAAGGUCUUCGGAUCGUAAAACUCUGUUAUUAGGGAAGAACAUAUGUGUAAGUAACUGUGCACAUCUUGACGGUACCUAAUCAGAAAGCCACGGCUAACUACGUG
rnacentral:rRNA from 1 species